rnacentral:miRNA from 1 species
CGGCGGGGCUCGGAGCCGGG